rnacentral:rRNA from 1 species
UACGAAGGGGGCUAGCGUUGCUCGGAAUUACUGGGCGUAAAGCGCACGUAGGCGGGUCGUUAAGUCGGGGGUGAAAUCCUGGAGCUCAACUCCAGAACUGCCUUCGAAACUGACGAUCUUGAGUUCGGGAGAGGUGAGUGGAACUGCGAGUGUAGAGGUGAAAUUCGUAGAUAUUCGCAAGAACACCAGUGGCGAAGGCGGCUCACUGGCCCGAUACUGACGCUGAGGUGCGAAAGCCAGGGGAGCAAACGGG